rnacentral:piRNA from 1 species
CGACCAUGUUGAUCUCACUCUUCCAAGCCA